AUGAAAAAGGCAAAACCACUGCGAAGUGGUGACGCAAAACUAUAGGGUCUUAUCAAGAUAGCCAGUUGCCAA
rnacentral:ncRNA from 1 species